UAAUUUAUUUGGAACACAUUUCUAUUUAAUUAUGACAGACCUAUACCUAACUAUUUAAUACCAUUUAUUUUUGUGUGAAGAAUAAGUUUUUAAGAUUUUAACUUUAGU
rfam:Populus trichocarpa isolate Nisqually-1 chromosome 14, whole genome shotgun sequence.